rnacentral:lncRNA from 1 species
AAUUACACUUUAUAGAUAGGUUUAAAAUAUAUAUAUAUAUAUAAUAUAUACAAUGAGUUGACAAUCCUUGACACAAGACAAACCUCUAUUUUAAUGGUUAAGGGGUGUCAAAAGUUACUGAAGGUUGCAAGUUCUAUUCCUGUGAUGUCGUUUUCUUAUCUGUAAGUAUUUUUUUAAAAUUAAUUAAUAAACGAUAUGACAUGAGGGCAAUUGGGAGUAAAUCGUAAAGAAAUCCUUAAUUUCAAAACUCAAAAGGAAACAUCUCUCACGGCUCAUAUUCUCAAAUUGCUACUUGCUAGUGUUCAUUCUUAUCGCCGACUCGCCGAGACGCCGAUUCGUGUCGUUAGUCAUCUUUGAAAAUUGCUGGACGUUGGUGCUAGUUGAUCUUUCUUCGCCACUGGUCAUGGCAGCCACGGUAAGUUUCUUUACUCUAUUUCUUUGCCCCUUUCUUUUUAGAAGUUUGGAAAUGGUUUCUAUAAGACUAUAACUUUCACUAGAAUAAAUUAAUGGAGGACAAAAAGGAUUAAUUCCACUGAAACAAAAUAUUACUUGUAUUUCUUGUAUUUCUUAUAACUGUGAAUUGACAGUUUUUAUAACUGUGAAUUGUGAUAUUUUAUAGAAAUUAUUACUUGUAUUUCUUCUAAUUAAAUUUUGUUUUAUAAUUCAGAAUCAGAAAUCAAUGAAGCAGUUUUUUUUUUGUAAAGUACCAAAAUCAAGUUUGGCCACUCAUAAUCCAUCUAAUUUGGAAGAAGAUGUAGUACCAAAAUCAAAUUUGGCCACUAAUAAUCAAUCUAACCUGGAAGAAGAUGCCAACCAAUCGGAAGUACCAUUGCAUUCUUCUCAAAAACAACAAAUUAAUCUUGAAACUUUAAACUCCGAUCCGGCAGAAAGAACUCAAAUCUUGGACUACCAUCCAAACCUCCGCGAUGUGAUUAGAAGAGCAUACAUUCAGAGAGGUGCUUGUCAACCUCGAGAACAUAACUUUCCUCAAACAAUUUUUUAUGGAGUAAUGCGUCAUUUUAAUCCUAAAUGGUUUGUUGAUUAUCAUGGGUGGUUGGAGUAUAGUAUAAGUAACGAUGUAACAUAUUGUUUGAGUUGUUAUUUGUUUAAAGACGAUAACAUUCAUCAAGGUGGAGAUGAUGCAUUUUUGAGCAUAGGGUUUAAGAGUUGGAACAAAAAGAAGAGCUUUGAUAAGCAUGUUGGUGGGCCAAAAGUAGCUUUCAUAACCAAGCAAAAAGAAAAUGUGUAGAUCUACUACGGCAACAACAGUCCAUUAUAUAUGCAUUUGAGAAGCAAUCUGAUCAAGUUAAGCAUGAUUAUUGGAUUCGCUUAACUGUUUCGGUUAAUGUCGUAAGAUUUUUUUUGAAGCAAGAAUUUGCAUUUCGGGGUCAUGAUAAAUCUAAAACAUCAUUUAACAGGGGUAAUUUCUUAAAAUUCUCUCAUGGUAUGCAAAAGAAUGUGAUAAAAUUCAUGAUUAUGUAUUGAAAUAUGCUCCUCAAAAUGAUCAGAUGACUUCUCCAAUGAUUCAAAAAGAUAUUGUGACUGCAUGUAAGAUGGAAAUAAUUAAAGCUAUCAUUAAAGAAUUAAAUGGUGACUACUUUGCCUUAUUAGUUGAUGAAUCUUUUAAUGUAUCGCAAAAGGAGCAAAUGGCUAUUGUCUUACAAUAUGUUGAUAGAAUGGGAUUUGUGGUGGAGCGACUUGUUGAUAUUGUUCAUGUCAAAGAUACGUGUGCUUCAUCUCUAAAGAAGGCAAUUAUUGAUUUACUUGCUAAAUAUUCCUUAAGUCUAUCAUAUGUUCGUGGGCAAUGUUACGAUGGAGCAAGCAAUAUGCAAGUUGAGCUCAAUGGCCAUAAAAUGUUGAUUAGGAAAGAAAAUAGAUCGUCUCACUCUAUUCAUUGUUUUGCUUACCAACUUCAAUUAACUCUUGUUGCGGUUUCAAAAAAAUAUAUUCAAGUAGGAGAACUUGUAGUUUUGGUCUCAAAUAUUUUGAAUGUGUUGGGAUCUUCUUUUAAGCGUAUGGAUGAAUUUCGAGAAUCUCAAAAGGAAAGAAUUGAAGAGGCAUUAGAUAUGGGUGAGCUUAAAACUGGUAGAGGCUUGAAUCAAGAACUUGGUCUUUCAAGAGCUUGUGAUACUCGUUGGGGAUCUCAUUAUAAAUCUUUUAAAAAAUUUAUUCUUAUGUUUGGCUCUAUUCUUGAUGUUCUUGAAGCAUUUGUUGUUGAUGCACGUUUGAUGGAUGACGUACAGAGCCAAGACAAUGAGAUAUCUCAAAACUAGUCAAACAUUUGAGGUUGCAUUCAUGUUGCAUUUGAUGGUAGAUGUUUUAGCAAUCACAAAUGAGCUAAAUAAAUGUUUACAAAAAAAAGGAGCAAGAUAUCGCAAAUGCUAUGCUACUUGUAGAAGUAGCAAACAGAAGGUUGCAAAGUUUAAGAGAAGAUGAUUGGGAUUUACUUAUUGAAAAAGUAUCUACAUUUAGUAUCAACUAUGGCAUUUUGAUACCUAAUUUUGAUGAGCCAUACGUUAACUCUUUAAGAUCACGACGCAAAUCUACCGAUCAUACUAUUUUGCAUCAUUAUCAUGUUGAUGUGUUUUGUAAGAUUAUUGAUUAGCAAAUUCAAGAACUCAAUGGUCAUUUUGACGAAGUGACUACUAAUUUGCUUCAUGGAGUUGCUUGUUUGAAUCCAAUUGACUCAUUUUCUAGUUUUGACAUCAAGAUGGCUAAAUUAUAUCCUGAUGACUUUGAUGAAGUUAAUAUGGGUGCUCUUGAGAAUCAACUUGCGACAUACAUUAUUGAUAUCCGUGAUAUUGAUGAAAGGUUCUCCAAUUUAAAUGGACUUUGUGAUCUUUCAAGAAAAUUGGUUCAGACAAAGAAGAAUUUAAACUUUCCUCUUGUAUUCUGCUCGGUGAAAUUUGCUUUGCUUUUGCCAGUUGCCACUGCAUCGAUUGAAAGAGCUUUUUCGGCAAUGGAGUUUAUCAAGAAUGACAUGCGGAAUCGAAUGAAUGAUGAACUUUUGAGUGGUUGUUUGGUGCCUUAGGUAGAAAAAGAUGUAUUUAGUACUAUAUCAAAUGAUGAUAUUAUAAAAACAUUUCAAAAAAUAAAACCUCGUCGA